rnacentral:rRNA from 1 species
UACGUAGGGUGCAGGCGUUAAUCGGAAUUACUGGGCGUAAAGCGUGCGCAGGCGGUCUCUUAAGACAGGUGUGAAAUCCCCGGGCUUAACCUGGGAACUGCGCUUGUAACUGAGAGGCUAGAGUGUGGCAGAGGGGGGUGGAAUUCCGCGUGUAGCAGUGAAAUGCGUAGAGAUGCGGAGGAACACCGAUGGCGAAGGCAGCCCCCUGGGCUGACACUGACGCUCAGGCACGAAAGCGUGGGGAGCAAACAGG